rnacentral:misc_RNA from 1 species
UUUUGAUCUUAAAGAUAGCUUCAAAUUCCAUAAAAAAUCAUAACCAGUUAAGUUGUUCUAUGGCAAACUGUAAGUUCCAUUGCGAGUCAAAUAACAAAAAUAAAGAACCAACAAAGUAAAAGCACUAAAAAACAUCUAAAAGCACCUCUAUCAAGCCACAUAAACUAACUCAUUAGUUAAUUACGGGUCCUCAGGACCAUAAAUCAUCUGUAGCAAAAAAAUCCUUGCGCUCAUUAACCGGAAAACCGAAAAAGGGUCUACCCUUGCUGGAUCUUGAGUAGGGAAAGUGUAGGCCGUGUAACUAAGUGAAGCUCAACUCCUAUCUUUCCAAGUUGUGCAUAAACUUCUCUCAGAGUACACAUGUUGUCAAGUUCUCUCAAUGAUAGCAUUUCCCUCUCUUCGAUCUCUAAGUUCCCACCAAUUUUCUUCAUCAUCAUCUCGUCUAUGUUCAUGAUUAUCAAUCUAUCAAGAAGUCUUUUGUUAGAAUCAAUAAUUCUAUCUACAUAAUAUCCAACAGGGAAUCCAAUGGAACACGAUUCAAAUCUCACUUAAGCUCAUGGUAUAAUAAUCAUACAGAAAAUCCAACUUAGGCUCAAAACUUAGACUUGCACAAGAAAUGACAGGAGUUGAUUCUUUGUUUUUCAAGAACUAUAAUCGAUUAAAACGAAAUGCUUCAGCUACUACCAAAAUCUAAACCACAUCCAGCCAACAAUUUAUGUUCAAGACCGUACAAAAUCAUUGUAAAAUUCAUAACUUGUCACUUCAUGUACAUUUAAAUGGCCAAAUUUUACAAAUUAAAUAGCAUGAGCAUUGUGUUGAAAUGAAAAUUAAGCUAACCUGAGAUUUACUGGGAGCCAUGAGUUAAGAGUAUUUUAUGACUCUGUACGGGCAACUUUCUAGAGUCAGAUGGCCGAAAGCUAAGGCGCCGAUCACCACGAUCCCUGAUCUUAUCGCAUUCAACUUCGUCUCUGGGUUCAUUCUCCUCCUCUCCUUCGCACUGCACACCGUCACAGGAUGCUUAACUGUGAAGGGGAAAUGAAAGAGAACAUAGAUUUUUAGGAAAAUCUAUUUGAUUCCAAACAAACAAAUUUAGGAAAAUCAAAAUUUUUUUUUUCUGUUUCUUCAUUUUCCUCUAUGCAAACAAUUUAUCAACCUUUUCUCUUUUCAUUUUUUCAAUCAACCCAUA